UGUGCUGACCGAAAGGUCCUGGUCCACCAAAUGGCGGGGAUAACAACC
rnacentral:ncRNA from 1 species